GAUGAACGCUGGCGGCGUGCCUAAUACAUGCAAGUCGAGCGCACAGACGAGGAGCUUGCUCCUCUGACGUUAGCGGCUGACGGGUGAGUAACACGUGGAUAACCUCCCUAUAAGACUGGGAUAACUUCGGGAAACCGGAGCUAGUACCGGAUAAUAUAUGGAACCGCAUGGUUCACUAGUGAAAGACGGUUUUGCGGUCACAUAGAGAUGGAUCCGCGCCGCAUUAGCUAGUUGGUAAGGUAACGGCUUACCAAGGCAACGAUGCGUAGCCGACCUGAUAGGGUGAUCGGCCACACUGGAACUGAGACACGGUCCAGACUCCGACGGGAGGCAGCAGUAGGGACUCUUCCGCAAUGGGCUAGAGCCUGACGGAGCAAAGCCGCGUGAGUGAUGAAGGUCUUCGGAUCGUAAAACUCUGUUAGUAGGGAAGAACAAAUGUGUAAGUACCUAUGCACGUCUUGACGGUACCUAGUCAGAAAGCCACGGCUAACUACGUG
rnacentral:rRNA from 1 species